rnacentral:rRNA from 1 species
GAUGAACGCUGGCGGCGUGCCUAAUACAUGCAAGUCGAGCGAAUGGAUUAAGAGCUUGCUCUUAUGAAGUUAGCGGCGGACGGGUGAGUAACACGUGGGUAACCUGCCCAUAAGACUGGGAUAACUCCGGGAAACCGGGGCUAAUACCGGAUAACAUUUUGAACCGCAUGGUUCGAAAUUGAAAGGCGGCUUCCGCUGUCACUUAUGGAUGGACCCGCGUCGCAUUAGCUAGUUGGUGAGGUAACGGCUCACCAAGGCAACGAUGCGUAGCCGACCUGGGAGGGUGAUCGGCCACACUGGGACUGAGACACGGCCCAGACUCCUACGGGAGGCAGCAGUAGGGAAUCUUCCGCAAUGGACGAAAGUCUGACGGAGCAACGCCGCGUGAGUGACGAAGGCUUUCGGGUCGUAAAACUCUGUUGUUAGGGAAGAACAAGUGCUAGUUGAAUAAGCUGGCACCUUGACGGUACCUAACCAGAAAGCCACGGCUAACUACGUGCCAGCCGCCGCCGUAA